rnacentral:rRNA from 1 species
GACGAACGCUGGCGGCGUGCCUAAUACAUGCAAGUAGAACGCACAGUUUAUACCGUAGCUUGCUCCACCAUAGACUGUGAGUUGCGAACGGUUGAGUAACGCGUAGUUAACCUGCCUGUUAGCGGGGGAUAACUAUUGGAAACGAUAGCUAAUACCGCAUAAUAUUAAUUAUUGCAUGAUAAUUAAUUGAAAGGUGCAAUUGCACCACUACCAGAUGGACCUGCGUUGUAUUAGCUAGUAGGUGAGGUAACGGCUCACCUAGGCGACGAUACAUAGCCGACCAGAGAGGGUGAGAGGCCACACUGGGACUGAGACACGGCCCAGACUCCUACGGGAGGCAGCCGUCGGGAAUUCUCGGCAAUGGACGAAAGUCUGACCGAGCAACGCCGCGUGAGUGAAGAAGGUUGUCGGAUCGUAAAGCUCUGUUGUAAGAGAAGAACGGGUGUGAGAGUGGAAAGUUCACACUGUGACAGUAUCUUACCAGAAAGAGACGGCUAACUACGUG